rnacentral:lncRNA from 1 species
GACCUCGUCUAAUGAGCUUCUCGAUCUCGUCUCAGAGCUGAAUACACUCCUCCGUGUCGUGGCCGUGGUCACGAUGAUAGAGGUAGAAUUUGUUUGGGUUGUGCUUCCCAGGAUGCGAGCACAUCCUCUCUGGCCUUGGGAGCUGCUCCCUAACCUCCAUCAGCACUUGAGCUUUCAAGGUGUUGAGAGGGGCGUAGCUGUGAAACCUUCCA